rnacentral:rRNA from 1 species
UACGGAGGGUGCAAGCGUUGUUCGGAUUUACUGGGCGUAAAGGGCGCGUAGGCGGCCACCGCAAGUCGACUGUGAAAUCUCCGGGCUUAACCCGGAAAGGUCAGCCGAUACUGCGGGGCUAGAGUGCAGAAGGGGCAACUGGAAUUCUCGGUGUAGCGGUGAAAUGCGCAGAUAUCGGGAGGAACACCGGUGGCGAAGGCGGUUCUCUGGGCCUUACCUGACGCUGAGGCGCGAAAGCGUGGGGAGCGAACCGG